rnacentral:rRNA from 1 species
CCUACGGGAGGCAGCAGUGGGGAAUUUUGGACAAUGGGCGCAAGCCUGAUCCAGCAAUGCCGCGUGCAGGAUGAAGGCCUUCGGGUUGUAAACUGCUUUUGUACGGAGCGAAACGGUCUGCUUUAAUACAGUGGGCAAAUGACGGUACCGUAAGAAUAGGCACCGGCUAACUACGUGCCAGCAGCCGCGGUAAUACGUAGGGUGCGAGCGUUAAUCGGAAUUACUGGGCGUAAAGCGUGCGCAGGCGGUUAUAUAAGACAGAUGUGAAAUCCCCGGGCUCAACCUGGGACCUGCAUUUGUGACUGUAUAGCUAGAGUACGGUAGAGGGGGAUGGAAUUCCGCGUGUAGCAGUGAAAUGCGUAGAUAUGCGGAGGAACACCGAUGGCGAAGGCAAUCCCCUGGACCUGUACUGACGCUCAUGCACGAAAGCGUGGGGAGCAAACAGGAUUAGAUACCCUGGUAGUCCACGCCCUAAACGAUGUCAACUGGUUGUUGGGUCUUCACUGACUCAGUAACGAAGCUAACGCGUGAAGUUGACCGCCUGGGGGAGGACGGCCGCGAGGUAGAACGUACGAAAGGAAGUAGACGGCGUGAGACGUAGACCGACGGACGACGACGAGGGGAGGAGG